UUAAACACGUUUAUUUACAAGGCCUGGGUCAGACAUCAUCACACUGUACAAUGUAGAGAACAAUAAUCACAAUAAUAAAUACACAAACACCAGCAGAUAAACUUUCUCACAGGCACUAUUUUUUCUUACGCAGGCACAGGCUGAUUUUACAGAGAGUUUAAUGACCUUCAGUCUGUUUGACUGCAGACGACGUUGUGGGAGAAAACCUUGAUAUGCAGCUAGAAUAAAAAUAAAAAUGCAUUCCUCCCCAUUUCAGCCAAAUUCAAGUGUUCUGCAGAGUGGAAAUGCAACACAGUGUGCAUUUUUAGUUUGCUUAUUGCGCUGUGAAUAUACUCGUUUAUGAGCGUCAGCAGUUUUCUCCUCAUUCGGGGAUUUUCAUGGUGCAAGACGUAAGCUCUGAAGCGGCUCUGGGCGUCAAACCAUUCGAUCAGAGGAUUGUGUCGCAGCUGCACCAUGGAGACGAGGCUGGUUUGUUCGCUCUAUUACUAAAUACAUAGUUAGUGUUUAUGUAGUGAAUAUGUCUUAUUGCUGGAGAAUUGCUGCUAAUGAUCUAAUUGGGCUCAGAAAUAUUUAAAUAAGAACAGAACUCGUCCACGCUUUAGAACAUAUCUAAGAGUUAUAGACAUUAAUCAUGCUAAAACAAAAGCCAUGCAUGAAUAUUUGUCCUGGAAUCUUAAUAAAAUCAAUAAAAGUGGAGUUACAGAGAGGUUGAGGUCAAACCACAUACAGUCUAAAUAUAUCCAGCUGCUGCCGGGAAUAAUUACUGGUUUAUUCUAAAGUAAGGUAAAAUGGAAAACCUUCAUUUGUGUAUGAAAGUACAGUGUGAAAGUAUGGAGGAACAAAAGUGCCACUAAAACCAAAAAACCUAAAUUUAAUUAAAUACAUAACCCUAUGUAGCAGCACAUUCUAAAUGUUUGUUUUAUAUAAAUUACCAUAUAAUAAUAGUAUACUUAUUUAUAUUAAAAUAAGCCAAAAAUUGUGUUUUAUAUUUUUUUUAAAUAUGCAAAAUUGAUCUAUUUAUAUAUUAGGGUCAGGGAUUUAACAAGUUAGUUUCAAUUAAUUAAUUACAUUUAACCUGGUAAUUUUAACACAAUUAACUGCUUUUGUUAAAAACAUAAUCAAGUCCCACUAGAAUGCUGUAGUAUCCCGCACUAUUACAGGAUGCUAAAAUAACUGAAGAACUCUUAAAACUAUAGAUUAAAAAGUUUUAGAUGCUUCCCAUAAUAAAUAAGAAAUAAAUUCCACAUUUAUUUAAGUGUUUAAUACAUUAUUGAACCGUUUAAUAAUGAACAUUUAUGUAUUUCCAUUUUUAUUUAAAAUAUCAGCUAAAUCAAUAUUUAUUUCACAUCUUAUUCGUGCAUUAAUUUGUGGCCCUUGAUAAAAACGAAGUUUUCAAAAUGUUAUGUUUGGCGCCCCCUGUAGGCAACUCUUCAAAGUGCACCAUAAUCAUUAAAUAAAACUGCAGAACGACUCGGGGAAAAACACCAAAACGGUUACCUGUAGCACUCAUUUAUGAGCUGAACCAAAACCAGCCAGACUAAAGUAAACCUAAAAGGCCUGUUUUUACAAAUGCUUUGUAAGAUUUUGUGUUUUUUCUCUGUGGAUUAGGUUUUAAGCUGUGCAACCAUUUCAGUUUUCUGCUGUACAGUUAUUCCACCUGUGGUGAGUGUAUGUAAAGUUGUGAUCUGAACUCUAAAUGUGGCAUCAUAACACUGAUAUCUGGACCUCUGAAAAAUGAGGUGAAAUGGUCGAAAGGAUCUUCCAGAACUUUCAGGCACAGAGGACAGGGAAACGCGAAGGAGAAACUGGAGCGUGGGAAACCGAUUCAGCAUCAUAAAGCGUUAAAAGAGAGGAGGACAAGAAUAAGUAAUCUAAACUUCUGGAUUAAAAAUGGUAAUAAAAUAAAGAAAAAUUAGGAUUAAAGCAGCUUCUAUGUAAAUAGAAACAGGGAAUGAUGGGGGAUUGAGCAGA